GACGAGAAUGGCCUAAUGUAAGAACUUUGGUUCUUGCGUUGGUAUCUGUUCAGAAGGAUGUCAAGUCUCCAUCUUACAAUCUGAUGGAUAAACCCCAUGAUGGUGCAUUUACCUUUUGGUCGAUCCAUCUUUCACCUCUGCACCAGAAAGGACCUUACUGCAAUAUGUGGAAUUCUAGAGUCAACUGGCUAGAGAUGAUGAGGGAACUGCAAAUGAGGGUGGUUCUAAGAUCUGUGAAGCUUAUCUCAUAUUCCAGGACUUUUUUGCGGAUGCUGAAACUGUAUUCGCGGCUCAACACCUGCAUCCCAUGGAUUUGCCUUCUCUGAACUUGUAUUCAAUGCACCAGACAGAAAUAAACUGAGCACCGUUUCACCUUCAGAGUAGGCACGGCUAAAUUUGAUGGGCUUUUUUCUUUGCUUCUCUAAUGUUAGUGAUUAGUGGAGCAUAGAUGAAGUGAAUAUAGUGUUGUUCUUGAUUGGUUUUCUCAUAAAUGUGGAGCAUGUGCAAUUUUAUGGCACUGAUUUGGUUUAUGGCACCGUCGGGGAAUGAACUGAGCACGGUUUGUGAUUCAGACAGGCCCCUUUCAUUUAUUUGUGGCUACUAAAUUCGAUUUUUUUU